rnacentral:siRNA from 1 species
AGAGAAGAGAUGUGCCUGCCUCCA